rnacentral:rRNA from 1 species
GAUGAACGCUGACAGAAUGCUUAACACAUGCAAGUCUUUGGUGAAGCUGUGCUUGCACAGCCUAGCCAAGGCGGACGGGUGAGUAACGCGUAAGGAACUUGCCCUGCAGUCAGGGAUAACAGACGGAAACGACUGAUAAGACCUGGUAAAGUCAGGCGGACUCAUGUCCAGCCUGAUGAAAAGAGAUGCUGCAGGAGAGCCUUGCGUCCUAUUAGCUUGUUGGUGGGGUAACGGCCCACCAAGGCAAUGAUAGGUAGCCGGCCUGAGAGGGUGGACGGCCACAAGGGGAAGGAGAACCGGCCCUUACUCCGCCGGGAGGCAGGAGUGGGAAAUAUUGGACAAUGGGGGCAACCCUGAUCCGAAAUUUCGUGGGGCAAAAAGAAGUUUUGCGGAUUUAAAAGUGCUUUCAAGAGGGAAAAAAAAAAUGACGGUCCCGGCAAAAAAAGCCAGGCCUAAAUACGG